rnacentral:rRNA from 1 species
UGAGGAAUAUUGGUCAAUGGCCGGGAGGCUGAACCAGCCAAGCCGCGUGAAGGAAGACGGCCCUACGGGUUGUAAACUUCUUUUGUCGGGGAACAAAAGGGAGGACGAGCCCUCCUCUGCGGGUACCCGAAGAAAAAGCAUCGGCUAACUCCGUGCCAGCAGCCGCGGUAAUACGGAGGAUGCGAGCGUUAUCCGGAUUUAUUGGGUUUAAAGGGUGCGUAGGCGGUCUGUUAAGUCAGCGGUAAAAGACCGGGGCUCAACCCCGGCAAGCCGUUGAAACUGGCGGACUAGAGACGGAGAGAAGUAAGCGGAAUGCGCAGUGUAGCGGUGAAAUGCAUAGAUAUUGCGCAGAACUCCGAUUGCGAAGGCAGCUUACCGGCUCCGGACUGACGCUGAGGCACGAAAGCGUGGAGAUCAAACAGGAUUAGAUACCC